UGGGGAAUUUUGGACAAUGGGCGAAAGCCUGAUCCAGCAAUGCCGCGUGUGUGAAGAAGGCCUUCGGGUUGUAAAGCACUUUUUGUCCGGGAAAGAAAUCCUUGGCUCUAAUACAGUCGGGGGAUGCGGUACCGGAAGAAUAAGCACCGGCUAACUACGUGCCAGCAGCCGCGGUAAUACGUAGGGUGCAAGCGUUAAUCGGAAUUACUGGGCGUAAGCGUGCGCAGGCGGUUUGCUAAGACCGAUGUGAAAUCCCCGGGCUCAACCUGGGAACUGCAUUGGUGACUGGCAGGCUAGAGUAUGGCAGAGGGGGGUAGAAUUCCACGUGUAGCAGUGAAAUGCGUAGAGAUGUGGAGGAAUACCGAUGGCGAAGGCAGCCCCCUGGGCCAAUACUGACGCUCAUGCACGAAAGCGUGGGGAGCAAACAGGAUUAGAUACCCUGGUAGUCCACGCCCUAAACGAUGUCAACUAGUUGUUGGGGAUUCAUUCCUUAGUAACGUAGCUAACGCGUGAAGUUGACCGCCUGGGGAGUAC
rnacentral:rRNA from 1 species